GCCUUUGUGGUGUAAUGGUAGCACACUUGGUGCACAUUCGAGAAGUCCAGGUUCGAGUCCCGGCGAGGGCA
rnacentral:tRNA from 1 species